rnacentral:lncRNA from 1 species
UCACUUGGCCUAAAGAGGGAUUUAACCCAUGUUUAUGUUGAGGGUUAAAUGUUCUCUUCCUUCUUUUAUUUAUUUAUUUCUUCAGCAAUCAUUCAUUAUAUUCUGAUGUACAUGCUAAGAGAAUCUAAGAAUUUUGACCCACUAUUCACUCUGAACAGCCAGCCACUUGGUUUUUGUGGGAAUACUCGAUAUCUGGUGACUGUGGUGACUAAUAAAUAGCCUUGGGUUGUGUAUAGGACGAAAUUCUAUAAUUUCCUUUACUGAUAAUCUGGGGUUGAAUAGUAAUUUUUUUUUCUGAUAGUCCUAGAGCAGUGGACUUCGUAAUGCUGCAAUCCUUUAAUACAGUUCCUCAUGUUGUGGUAACCCCCAACCACAAAAUUAGUUUAUUGCUACUUCAUAACUGUAAUUUUGUUGCCAUUAAGAAUUGUAAUGUAAAUAACUGUGUUUUCAGAUGAUCUUAGGUGACCUCAGUGAAAAGGUUAUUUGAGACACACAUACUCUCACACACACACACACACACACACACACACACACACACACACACCCCGGAGGGAUCUCAUCCCACAGGUUGACAACUGCUGUUCUAGAGGUUUUCAUUUAAGGUUUGACAUGGUAAUCUUUCCCCUUUGUUUUCAAUAGCCCUGCAGAAUCUCUUUAAACCUUUAGAGUUAUCUCUGAGAGCCUUAGGACCUCAGUUGCCUUCCUAGUUACUCUGUAACAUUCCUUGCUUUUACUUUUUAAAUUCCCCUUAAUCAUUUCACUGAGUAUAAUUACAUACUACUUGUGGAUGGAACCCUAUACACAAAUUAACCUUUUCCAGAACAGUAAGUAUAGAGAAACCUGCCUCCUGUUCUGUUCCCAGGGCUUGAACCAAGAGGAAGCACUCAUGAUUAAAUGGAUCUGAGUGCAGGGCACAAUGGCACAGAGGUAAGGUAGGAGGAGCGAAGGUUUAGAGGCAGCUGCUGUAGCAUCCUCAUGGAGACAGAUUCUGGCUUGGUUUUUGUUUGUUUACUUGUUAUUGUAAUUAUUUGAGCUAGACCUAGUGUAAGGGUCGCUCUUCCUGUAUAAAAUGGGGAGAGUAGGUUGCUGUGAAGUACAAGAACAUGCUGUGUGACAGCAGGUACCUAAUCUUGUUGCUUUCACCUAAACAGAAUCUACCUUAGUUGAGAGACCAGAAAGGCAUUUUUAUAAAAACAGGGUGACAGUCUGAGGCCCAGGCUGACCAGGAACUUGGGAUAGCCUUCCUGCCAUGGCCUCCACAGUGCAUGGAUUCCAGGUGUGAGACAUCAUGGCCCAAAUAAACCAGAAGACUCUUAGAGCCUGAGAAGGCUCUGGUCUUCCUGUGACCCCCAGGGUCGUGAAGGAGUAGAGGACAGGAACAGGCUGGUGCCUUUUUACUUUUCAUAAACCCCCAGAGGCCCACACUUUCAUCUUAUUUUCUCCUCCUCUAUCUUAAGGUAAUCUGUUACUUAUAUUUUAUUGAUAGACUGCAUUUAUUUAUUUAUUUAUUUAUUUAGAGACAGGGUCUAACUAUACAGCUCUUGCUGACUUGGAACUUGUUGUGUAGAUCAGUCUGGCCUUAAACUCAAAGAUCUGCCUUCCUCUUUUUAAAGAUUGCUUGGAUUACAGGAGUCUGCUACCACACUUGCCUACUGCAGUCUCCAUACUCAUUCUCUUCCAGCUCUAGCCAUAUAGAUGGUUUCCUGUCUCCUCUUCAUAUGUUCUGUUUUGUAUCAAAAGUUUCUAGGUAAUUUUACAUGAAUUAUUAUUAGAGUAGACAAAACAAAGGAAAUGUAGGAUACAGUAUUUCCUCCCAUUUUAAAUAUCUGGGCCCAUAUAUAAGUUAUAUGUAACCAAAUUAUUACUAUUAUUUACUCAGAUGUGUUUAAUAAUAAUAAUUAAAAAAACAGGUCGGUUGUCCACGUUACAAAAUGCUGUUGAAUUUAUAGAAAUGGCUUUUGCUCUCUAAGCUUGUUUUUUUAAAAAACAUAAUAAUAUUAUCCACUUGAUCAUUGAUACAGCAAAUAAUUAGUGAAUGCGUGACAAUAUUAAGUAUUAGCAUUAGAGAAAGUAUGGGCUUACCAGUUGCUUUCUGAUUGAUUUGAUUGAUGCCUGGUCUGGUCCACAGGGGAGGAAUUCAUAUCUGGUCCUGUAAACUUGGUCAAAGGAAUGUGGUUGGGAACGUCAUAGUCACUGCUGUUGCUUGCUAAAUGGACGUGGUGUGCCUGUCAACCUGCCUUCCAGUGGCUGUGCUCAUGCUUAUAGAUAGACGAGUGCUGCCAUCAGCUGUGGGCAGAGAACCUGCUUUCUUACAGUGGUCUGUAGUGAUUGCAGAGACUGGCCAAAGUACUGAGAAUAAGUGACUAUUGAAUGCAGAGACAUGAAUGGGAAUCUGCAUCUCCCCCUGCCCCCCCUAAAGUUUAGGAAGCCUCUUGGAAAAGGGGGCAUAAGAACAUAAGAGCUGGAGGAAGCAAAAGGGGGUGUGGAUGUAAGGCUUCUGGGAAUGCUAUGGCUGUCUACCUGUUGAACUCACCGAGGCUAUGGGCAUCUGCUUCCCCAUACAGGCUUUGAUCUGAGCUCUUCUUGGCAUAGGACUGGGAGAGGCUUUUCAGGGCACCACCCUUCCCUGAAGACUUAUGUACAUAUCCUCUCUCUCUCCCUCCCUCUCUCUCUCUCUCUCUCUCUCUCUGUGUGUGUGUGUGUGAGAGAGAGAGCCCCACUGGUAAGCUCCUGUAAAUCUCUAUACACAUGUUCCUGUGAGAAAUCCAAGUAAAAUUCAUUGGUUCUCAGAGCAGAACAGCUCAUGAAAAUAGAUAGAGAGAUAGUUGGGAAGAGGAAGGGAAUUAUAUCUGGAGCAAGAUGAGAGGGUGGUGAAUAUGGUUAGAAUACAUCGUGAACAUGUAUGAAACCCAUUAGUAAACAUAUAACAGUAUGGGGUUUUUUGGUUUUUUUUUAUAUAUAUAUAUAUUUUUAUUACGUAUUUUCCUCAAUUACAUUUCCAAUGCUAUCCCAAAAGUCCCCUAUACCCUUCCCCCACUCCCCUACCCACCCAUUCCCACUUUUUGGCCCUGGCAUUCCCCUGUACUGGGGCAUAUAAAGUUUGCGUGUCUAAUGGGCCUCUCUUUCCAGUGAUGGCCGACUAGGCCAUCUUUUGAUACAUAUGCAGCUAGAGUCAAGAGCUCCGGGGUACUGGUUAGUUCAUAAUGUUGUUGCACCUACAGGGCUGCAGAUCUCUUUAGCUCCUUGGGUACUUUCUCUAGUUCCUCCAUUGGGGGCCCUGUUCUCCAUCCAAUAGCUGACUGUGAGCAUCCACUUACGUGUUUGCUAGGCCCAGGCCUAGUCUCACAAGAGACAGCUAUAUCAGGGUCCUUUCAGCAAACGCUUGCUAGUGUAUGCAAUGGUGUCAUCGUUUGGAGGCUAAUUAUGGGAUGGAUCCCUGGAUAUGACAGUCUCUAGAUGGUCCAUCCUUUUGUCUCAGCUCCAAACUUUGUCUCUAUAACUCCUUCCAUGGGUGAUUGUUUCCAAUUCUAAGAAGGGGCAAAGUGUCCACACUUUGGUCUUCGUUCUUCUUCAGUUUCAUGUGUUUAACAGUAUGUUUUAAUAAAAAACAAAAAUGUGAUAUGACCAUUUUCUCUAGGCACUAUUGCUGAAUUAGAAAAUAGAAUAUAAUGUGAGGAAGCUGGCCGGUUCAGGAUGUCGCUCAAUUACUAAGGAAGAUCACCCAACCCAAAUGGAAGUCAGCUUGUACAAAGGCCCUGCCUGCAGCAAGAGCAGACAGUGAUGUAUUUGGGGAGCUUCAUUGUAUCAUAUGUGGUCAUUAUUGUUGGGGUGUAAUUGUGCUUAAGGAAAGAGAUGAUCUGGGAAAUAGAGAAUGAAAGUUUAAACCUUGGCAGGAAGCCGUGGAGUCUGUCAGCCAUCAGAGAAGUCUUUUUCCUCAGAGCACUUGGAAAAGGUUUAUGCAGCAAUGUCACUUGUUUAGAUUGGAUUUGGGGUAUGGUUGAGAGGGUAGAAUAUGUGACCAUUCUGACCACUUGAUACAAUAGUGUUCUCAGGUGGUGUUAGCCAGAAUUGUCCGCAAAGUUAGGAGUAGAUGAUUCCCAGGGACAUUUGGGAAGCCGUCACAGCCUCUGGGCUGGGGAAUAGUGAGUACCCUCACUGAGUCAGGCCAUUUAGAUGAGAGGCAGAUGUGGGGCUCACGCCAUGAGUUUAGUUUGGAGUUAUUGAAUAUUGUGACUUUCAAAUAAAGAUCUGCAGAAGUUAGAGACCUAGUCUGGGAUAGAUUUAAAAAUUCAUUGUAGUUUCAAGUUUUCAAAAUUCUCCUUAAAUUAGUUUUCCUGGUAAGGUGUCCAAAGAUGGCUUACCCAUUGUAUGUAGUAUAAGGGGCAGCGGUGGUAGGAAACAUUGUUUUAUAAAGAAGAUAAAAGCCAGCCAGGAAGUGGUGGCACAUACCUUUAACCCAAGGCAGGGGCAGGUGGAUCUUAGAGUUUGAGGACAGCUUGGUCUGCAGAGUGAGUUCUAGGAUAGCCAGGGCUACACAGUAAAACCCUUUCCUUUCUUAAUGGGGGAGGGGGAAAUGAUUAAAAACUAUAUAGUUCUAUUACCAGGGUUUAUUUUGUUUUGUUUUUCAAGGCACGAUUUCUCUAUGUAUCCCCAUUCCUGGUGGCCAAGGGCAUUUGGAGAAGAGAAACAUUGGUUUGAGCUGGAUUGAUUGAUCAGGAAAUGCUCUGUGAAGACUUGGCAUAUAGGCAGGGCCUAAAGAUUGGGCAGAAUUGGGCUCAGGGAACUCUGAAGGCUGGGCAUUCUAGCUUGAGGGAAAGGAGCAGGACUGUCCAAGAAAAGUUAGUGAGGUGAGGAGGAACCGGGUGCCUUCUGUGAGUGGUUCACAUCCAUGUUAGGCCACGAAUGGAGGUCUGUAAGCUUGGAGACAGUGUAAACAGAGUUGCCGAGUGUUAAGGGGUUCAGAGUCCAGCAGGCCAAUUAGAGUAGAACCAGGCAGUGGUAGCGCACUCCUUUAAUCCCAGAACUCAGGAGGCAGAGCCAAGUACAUCUCUGUGAAUUUGAGGUCAGCUUGGUCGGCACAGAGAAAUCCUGUCUUAGAAAAACUUUUUUAAAAAAUGAGUUUGGUGCAAGGACUGUGGUGAAAAGACCUUGCUCUGAGUGAGGCUGACUUUGGACUACAAAAGAGCAGAUGCUAGGUUUUCUAGGUGCAUAGCAUGGAGUCCUCUGCAUAUGACUUCUACUCAUACAUACAGAGUUCUUCAGGUAGAACUGUUGGGCAGAAAACUGGCUCUGUGGAGCUGCAGCCUGGAAUGAGGUCAGAAUGGAGAUAGUAGGACAGCUUCCUGUUGAAGUGAUAGUGGAUGCCUAGGGGUGGAUGAGGUCACCGGGACUCUACACAAU